AAGUCGUAACAAGGUUUCCGUAGGUGAACCUGCGGAAGGAUCAUUGCAGAGAUAGGUGGGGGGGGGAAUGACCAUUGCAGUGUCCGAGGACACCAUCCUUUGUUGGGCAUGAUUCCAUCCCUUGGAUCAGUCAUGAUCCCAACAGAGGCUUCCUACAACGACCAUGAUGCAUGACGUGAUCUUUAUUGAAUGGAUGACAACUUUUAACAAUGGAUCUCUUGGCUCUUGC
rnacentral:misc_RNA from 1 species